rnacentral:rRNA from 1 species
UUUGGAGAGAGAGUUAAAAGGACGCGAGCCCGUUUGCAAGGAAGCAGAUAGAGCUAAUGGCAGUGUAGGCAAUUCAAGCAGUCAGUUUUGCUGGCCCUGGCGGUUUUGGAUCUUUGUGGACCAUACCGUUAGGUGUUGCAGUGGACUGGCAGCUGCACUUUGCCCACACGUGCAUUGGGGCGUGUAACAUAGUGGUGCUGAGUGGGCAGCUGGUUGUGCCAAGGCAACUCGGUAACACACUACCCAAGUUAGUACCAUCUUUGUUACAUUGAAACAGCAUUGGCUGUGCGCAGACUGCAUUCCAGCCAGGUGGCCAUCAUCCAGUGUGCUUGCGCACAAGUGGUGUCUCAUUUGUGUUUGGAGUGUUGUUCUGCCAACUGGUGCAAUCCAGUGAAACUGUUGGUGUCCUAUCUGACCCGUCUUGAAACACGGACCAAGGAGUCUAACAUGUGCGCGAGUUGAAGGGUGGCAAACCCAUGAGCACAAUGAAAGUGAAGCUGGCCUCGUGUCAGUGAUAUGAGAUCUGUGGUUUCUACGGAAUUGCAGAGCAUCAUAGUCCCUUCCAUAUUGCAUGCCAAUAGGGAGGAGACAGAGCGUACACGUUGGGACCCGAAAGAUGGUGAACUAUGCAUGAGCAGGGCGAAGUCAGGGGAAACUCUGAUGGAGGCUCGAAACGGUUCUGACGUGCAAAUCGAUCGUCAGACUUGUGUAUAGGGGCGAAAGACUAAUCGAACUAUCUAGUAGCUGG